UGCCGCGUGCAGGAAGACUGCCCUAUGGGUUGUAAACUGCUUUUAUAUGGGACUAACCACGCCUACGCGUAGGCGUCUGCAUGUACCAUACGAAUAAGCAUCGGCUAACUCCGUGCCAGCAGCCGCGGUAAUACGGAGGAUGCGAGCGUUAUCCGGAAUUAUUGGGUUUAAAGGGUGCGUAGGCUGACAAGUAAGUCAGUGGUGAAAUUCCCCGGCUCAACCGGGGGUGUGCCAUUGAUACUGUUUGUCUAGAGUGUAAUCGAAGUGGGCGGAAUGAGGAGUGUAGCGGUGAAAUGCAUAGAUAUUCCUCAGAACACCGAUAGCGAAGGCAGCUCACUAGGAUACAACUGACGCUGAGGCACGAAAGCGUGGGUAGCAAACAGGAUUAGAUACCCUGGUAGUCCACGCAGUAAACGAUGAUCACUAGUUGUUGGCGAUACACAGUCAGUGACCAAGCGAAAGCGAUAAGUGAUCCACCUGGGGAGUACGUCGGCAACGAUGAAACUCAAAGGAAUUGACGGGGGCCCGCACAAGCGGAGGAGCAUGUGGUUUAAUUCGAUGAUACGCGAGGAACCUUACCUGGGCUUGAACGUAUGGUGCAUGGGUGUGAAAGCAUCCUUUCUUCGGACUCCAUACGAGGUGCUGCAUGGCUGUCGUCAGCUCGUGCCGUGAGGUGUUAGGUUAAGUCCUGCAACGAGCGCAACCCCCUGUUCCAGUUGCCAACACGUAAAGGGGGGGACUCUGGAGAGACUGCCUACCCAAGUAGAAAAGGAAGGGGGGGAUGAAGUUCAAUCGGCACGGCCCU
rnacentral:rRNA from 1 species